AGAGAGAGAGAGAGAGAGAGAGAGAGACCGAGACAGAGACAGAGAGCGAACAGGAACACUAGGAGGAGGAGGAGGAGUAGGAGGGGAAAGGAUGAUGGCUCCUCCUCUCCAUCUCCAGUGUGUUAGAGACGUGUGCAGAGUAAACAAGAGGAGGACGAAGAUCUCUGAAACUUGUCCCUCAACCCUCCAGCCCCUCCCAGUUUCCGCCCCUCUUCCCUCGCCGCCUGGCUGUGUAUACCUUGCAAUGUAUAAAGCAGGUGGUGAUUUGUUUUUUGUUCGUUUUAAAGUCGUCUUACCCAUUCGCCAAGGUGGUGGGGAUGUUCAGCCAGGUGGACGAGAGCUCCUGCAAGUGUCAGGACGCUUGGCUGCCCUGCCCGCUGGAAAUUAGGGAGAAAUCCGUCGUGAAAUUCAGGGGCUACAGCUGCUACACGCCAAGACGGUACUGCUGCAAUAGGAAGGUGAUCCCCAGGCUGUCUCCCGCCCUACACUACGACCUGGAGCACCUCGCCCUCACCGCCCCGCCGCUGAGCCACACCCUGACGAAGGCGAAAAAGGUGGAUGUCUUUGGGCCUGCGGCGAAGACUACUAAGCCGUCAGGAUUCACCGCCGGAUCACACAAUCACCUUGAGAGACACCGACGAACCAUAAGAGCGACAAAGGAAGACCACAAGAUCAAGAACAGGAUCGCCCCGUGUUCCUGUACAACCCCGGAGAAGUGUGCAACCUUGUGGGAGGCGUACCGUGACCUCCCAAAGGCCAAGAUCAAGGCGAGUCUGAACUGCACGAGGUACGGAGAGGUC